AUACCACUUGGAAACAGGUGGCUAAUACCGGAUAAGAAAGCGGAUCGCAUGAUCAGCUUUUAAAAGGCGGCGUAAGCUGUCGCUAUGGGAUGGCCCCGCGGUGCAUUAGCUAGUUGGUAAGGUAAAGGCUUACCAAGGCGAUGAUGCAUAGCCGAGUUGAGAGACUGAUCGGCCACAUUGGGACUGAGACACGGCCCAAACUCCUACGGGAGGCAGCAGGC
rnacentral:rRNA from 1 species